rnacentral:rRNA from 1 species
GUCUGCGGCCAUACCACCCUGAACGCGCCCGAUCUCGUCUGAUCUUGGAAGCUAAGCAGGGUCGGGCCUGGUUAGUACUUGGAUGUGAGACCGCCUGGGAAUACUGGGUGCUGUAGGCU